rnacentral:rRNA from 1 species
AGCUCCAAUAGCGUAUAUUAAAGUUGCUGCAGUUAAAAAGCUCGUAGUUGCAUUUCCGAGGCAAGGGAUUAGUCCGACCUUUGGUGGGUAUUUAAUCCUCUUGCCUCGUCCUUGAGUGGUGCUUCUUGGUAUUAAGUUAUCGAGGAGAUAGCCGCUCAUCGUUUACUGUGAGAAAAUUAGAGUGUUCAAAGCAGGCUUAUGCCGUUGAAUAUAUUAGCAUGGAAUAAUAAGAUAGGACCUCGGUACUAUUUUGGUGGUUUGAGAACCAAGGUAAUGAUGAAUAGGGACAGGUGGGGGUAUUCGUAUUCAGUUGUCAGAGGUGAAAUUCUUAGAUUUACGGAAGACGAACUACUGCGAAAGCAUUUACCAAGGAUGUUUUCA